rnacentral:lncRNA from 1 species
UAUACUUUGAAUGAAUUUUCCUAGAAUGUGUUUGAAAUUUCGAGUUUCUCUUCGAUUUUAUUACGAAUGUGAUUAUGCGGCCCGCGCUCAUCAUUAUAUCAGUUAUCCGGCCCACUGUGCAAAAAAGUUUGGUGACCGCUGCUCUAGAGCUAGACGGACAUCUGCGUUGCGGGAAAGUUCUGUACAGACAUUUCGCUGCUCUAUUAUAUUCCUAUUCUUUUUCGCCCCUGAGGUACUGUACAUUGCCAAUUCUGCAUAAGAUUAGUGAUCCAUAAUACUUUCAAAAAAACUGUAGUACACAACUGCCAAACCAGGAAGAGUUAGCAAUUUAACAUUCGAAAAUUAAUACUGCAUUU